AUUGAACGCUGGCGGCAGGCCUAACACAUGCAAGUCGAACGCGUGGCGGACGGGUGAGUAAUGUCUGGGAAACUGCCUGAUGGAGGGGGAUAACUACUGGAAACGGUAGCUAAUACCGCAUACCAUCGGGUGUGCCUAGGUCGGAUUAGCUAGUUGGUGGGGUAAAGGCCUAACAAGGCGACGAUCCGGAACUGGUCUGAGAGGAUGAUCAGUCACACUGGAACUGAGACACGGUCCAGACUCCUACGGGAGGCAGCAGUGGGGAAUAGUGGACAAUGGGCGAAAGCCUGAUCCAGCCAUGCCGCGUGUGUGAAGAAGGUCUUCGGAUUGUAAAGCACUUUAAGUUGGGAGGCGUUACCCGCAGAAGAAGCACCGGCUAACUCCGUGCCAGCAGCCGCGGUAAUAC
rnacentral:rRNA from 1 species